UACGGAGGAUGCGAGCGUUAUCCGGAUUUAUUGGGUUUAAAGGGUGCGUAGGCGGCGCUUCAGGUCAGCGGUGAAAUACCGGGGCUCAACCCCGGGGCUGCCGUUGAAACCGGAGCGCUAGAAUUCCGAUGCCGUCGGAGGAAUGUGUGGUGUAGCGGUGAAAUGCAUAGAUAUCACGAAGAACCCCGAUUGCGAAGGCAGCCUGCCGCAGCGUUACUGACGCUGAAGCUCGAAAGCGCGGGUAUCGAACAGG
rnacentral:rRNA from 1 species